AUCGCUUCUCGGCCUUUUGGCUAAGAUCAAGUGUAGUAUCUGUUCUUAUCAGUUUAGUAUCUGAUACGUCGUCAAUCAGAGAACUUCAUAUCAAACGGCUCUUUGGGCAUGAGAGCUGGACCCGGAGCUUGCUCCCUGCGCUCCGUGCAUCAUCCUGGUACUGCAGUGCCUCCGGGAACGGUGCACCUCGC